rnacentral:lncRNA from 1 species
UAGCCAAGAAUUUGGAUGAAUCUGUCCUCUGCUCACUAGCCACAUGACCUUGGACAUGUUUAUUAGCUUUCCGAGCCUUCAUUUUCUCAGCUAUAAAAUGAGGUUAUUAUCUCAAAAAAUUGUUAUAAGCAUCAACAGAGAUAAGGAAUGAUUCCUGGUGAAAUCAUAAACGUCUUCUCCUGUCUCUGUACCUUACCCAGUUCUGGGGUGACCAGGUGAGUGCCUGGAGUGGCUGUCCCAUGGGUCAGAGCAAAGGUCACAUGUGCUUGAGGAAUCAGCACUAAAUCAGAUUUCACUAGCCAUCCUCCCUCCAGAGUGUUCCCUUUGGCUCUUUUUGUCUUCCCUAUCUCCUGUCUUUAAUCUCCCCUUCUUCCUUUCCCUUGUGUUCACUCAGCUAGCACUUUCUGAGAGGUUCUCUGUCCCAGAUACCCUGCUGGCUGGGGCAGUGCAUGAAUCACAUGCAGUUGAGAAUGUGAGCAGUGUCUUGCCUGGUGCUGACAGAGAACGGAAGAGGAGGGCCGUGCUCUAAGGGAGGCCUGUGCUGUGGGUUUACAGAGGGGCUGUCCUUUGGCGGGGGCAAGGCUAGAGGAGUGGUGGCCAGACAGGGGAAGUUUACACUAGGAAUAAGAUGUUUGAGCCUGUCUUUGAAGAACAGAUAAUGACUUUCUACACAGAGAAGAUGAGGGAGACCCACCCUGCGCCCACAGCUUUUCUGUCACCGUCUUGGAGUCUAAGGAUCUGAGCAUAUCCCUUACCCCAGUGAGGUUACUCUUUGAAGGAAGUUACCAGGAGGCUGCCAUCCCCAGAACAUUUUGAUCCUAAAAUAUUGGAGCUAAAUUCGUCCUUUGAGAUCAGCUGACUCGAUGAUUACCAGACUCUGUGCACAGCCAAAUCAUCAGGAUGGUUUCCUAGGAGUGAUAUUUCCGGGCCAGAGUAAACGGCUAUGUGAAAUUGUUAGCUAUUGCCAGCUUGCCCAGGAAACUGAUUUCCAUCUGCAGCGAAUUAUAGCCAUGACAAUACAGCAACAGGACUGUGGCAGGGAGGAGACCCAGUGGCGAUCCCACCCUCUCUGCAGCAGGGGCGCACCUUGACCGACAGUUUGCCCCGUGCUGCCGCACCUGGGGCACUUCCCAAAUCCUGGCCCGAGAGGAGACACCAUCCCGCCACCCCGCCACCCCACCUUCCCGGCCCAAGGCUUCGGCUGCUCCGUGACAGGCAGGCAGAGGGCAUGUUAAAGCAAAAUCGGCCUCAUUAAACUGAAAAGUUCAAGCAAAUGUAGCAAUUUGUUAUCAGAGGGCAGUCAGCUCUCUCAGAAGACCAAGUGGGGACCAGAAGACGGGGCCAGGUGGCCUACAGCUGUGCUUUGAAGAAGACAGUCCGGGCCAGGGCUGGUCACCUCCCAUCUCUGGGAAGACAGCAGCCCACGCUUCUCUCAGCGUUGCUCUUUCAGCCUCUGCUGACAUCAAGGAUCUCCUGCAGAGGUCCUGACAGCUGGAGAGCGAGCUGCUUUUGUUU